UGUUACGUGUCAAGAAUCCCGGAGGAUUCACAACAAAAGCUGGUCAGAAUUCGCCCCAUAGUCAGUCGAGUGCUCAAAAUUGGUACACAUUUGAAUCUGCCCUGCUGUAACAUUAAGCUUGAAAUGGAAUACAAAUGUUCAUCUGUUUGAUCUUGAAGUGUGCUGUUUGGACUGUGGUGUAUUGAUAGUUAAAUAGGUGUAUUGAAGUGUUGAAUCAAUUUUGUAGUAUGUGUGUAAAUACUGGACUGUUAACUGGACUGUAUAACUGGACCAUUCGUAUGGACUGUCUCGAACUGAUAUGGACUGUUAUAUAUUGAUAGUUCAAUAGUAGCUUAAUUCCGAUUUA